GAUGAACGCUGGCGGCGUGCCUAAUACAUGCAAGUCGAGCGAACGGACGAGAAGCUUGCUUCUCUGAUGUUAGCGGCGGACGGGUGAGUAACACGUGGAUAACCUACCUAUAAGACUGGGAUAACUUCGGGAAACCGGAGCUAAUACCGGAUGAUAUUUUGAACCGCAUGGUUCAAAAGUGAAAGACGGUCUUGCUGUCACUUAUAGAUGGAUCCGCGCUGCAUUAGCUAGUUGGUAAGGUAACGGCUUACCAAGGCAACGAUGCAUAGCCGACCUGAGAGGGUGAGCGGCCACACUGGAACUGAGACACGGUCCAGACUCCUACGGGAGGCAGCAGUAGGGAAUCUUCCGCAAUGGGCGAAAGCCUGACGGGGCAACGCCGCGUGAGUGAUGAAGGUCUUCGGAUCGUAAAACUCUGUUAUUAGGGAAGAACAUAUGUGUAAGUAACUGUGCACAUCUUGACGGUACCUAAUCAGAAAGCCACGGCUAACUACGUG
rnacentral:rRNA from 1 species